CCCUUAGACGUUCUGGGCCGCACGCGCGCUACACUGACGAAGGCAACGAGCUUUCCUUUACCGAAAGGUACGGGUAAUCUUUUGAAACUUCGUCGUGCUGGGGAUAGAUCCUUGCAAUUUUUGAUCUUAAACGAGGAAUGCCUAGUAAGCGCAAGUCAUCAACUUGCGUUGACUACGUCCCUGCCCUUUGUACACACCGCCCGUCGCUACUACCGAUUGAAUGGUUUAGUGAGGCCUUCGGAUCCGCGACUCGUUUGUGGAGAAGUUGGACAAACUCAGUCAUUUAGAGGAAGUAAAAGUCGUAACA
rnacentral:rRNA from 1 species